UUUCCACAGUUUAUUACAAAUCCAUUGAACAGUCUGGAAUGUAUGGAGUUAGAGAGAAAGAUCAGGAAAAAUGGUUGACUAGCAAAAACUAAGGGUAGUCAUCUCGCUCAGUUUCCCACUUGAGCUGUUUGAAACUUGCAUUAUCUCUGUUAGCUAUGGCAUUCAUGCCAAUAGUAUCAAACUUGGAGCCCAUAUUCUCAUCCAGCAGAUGGCCAAACUCCUCAGCAGAGACAAACAGGCUGGAGUCAUUGAAACUUUUCUUCUUUUUCGA
rnacentral:lncRNA from 1 species